ensembl:lincRNA
CCCGGCUAAUUUUUGUAUUUUUAGUAGAGACGGGGUUUCACUAUCUUGGCCAGGCUGGUCUUGAACUCUUGACCUCAGGUAAUCCACCCACCUCAGUCUCCCAAAGUGCUAGGAUUACAGGCGUGAGCCACAUUGCCCUGCCCUAAUCUGACUUCUCAUCGCAUCCUGUAACCUCUGACUUUAGUGAUCUUGACUUCUGUCUGCUGCCAUGGACUUUGAACAAUUAUGACCUGGCAUCCAACCUUGCCCUCGGCAGGGCUCUGACCUGACGUGACCUUUGACCUCUCACCUCUGCAGCUACACGUUCGGCAAAGUACAGGGCAACAGCGACCUCUACUGGAAGUCGCAACGCUACCGCCUCAUCCGGGAAUUCCACUCUCGGCCUGCGCUGGCCCCGCCCCUUAUCAUCAUCUCCCACUCGCGCCUCCUGCUCAGGAAAUUGUGCCGGCGCUCCCGGAGCUCCCUGCCGCCCUCCUCGGUCAUCGGGGAUUUCCGAGUCUCCUUUUCUCCGGAAGCCGAGCGGAAGCUGCUGACUUGGGAAUCGGUGCAAAAGGAGAACUUCCUGCUGGCACGCGCUCGGGACAAGCGGGACAGCGACUCCGAGCGUCUGAAGCGCACGUCGCAGAAGGUGGACAGUGCGCUGAAACAGCUGGGACACAUCCGCGAGUACGAACAGCGCCUGAAAGUGCUGGAGCGGGAGGUCCAGCACUGUAGCCGCGUCCUGGGGUGGGUGGCCGAGGCCCUGAGCCGCUCGGCCUUGCUGCCCCCAGGAGGGCCUCCACCCCCAGAUCUGCCUGGGCCCAAAGACUGAGCCUUGCUGGCGGACUUCAAGGAGAAGCCCGCUCUAGGGUUUUGCUCCUAGAGUAAGGCUCAUCUGGGCCUCGGCCCCCGCACCUGGUGGCCUUGUCCUUGAGGUGAGCCCCGCGCCCAUCUGGGCCGCUGUCGGGACCACCUUUGGGACUGUCAUCCGUACCAACCACAGCAUGCGGCUCCUCCCAGAACCAGCCGAAGCCUGGGAGGAGGAAGUCAUGGAGCCCCGGCUGUAGUCCAGACAGGCUGGAGGGUCCUUGGGGUAACAGGGACCACAGACCCCACUCACAGAUUCCUCACACUGGGGAAAUAAAGCCAUUUGAGAGGAAUCGUGUCCGGAGGCUUGAUUCUUGGGGGAACUGGUGGGUGUCUAGAUCCUUCCAGGAUGGCGGCUGGAGCUGGGGUGGUGGGUUUGGGGUUCUUGGUGGGUUUGCUGCUGAUAUUUUGGAGUCCCUUUCCUUCUCUCAGGCCUAGUGUUUCUGCCUGACUGAGACCCAGCACCUUCUGUCUGCAUGGUUCUGGCGGCUGUCACUUCUGUAGAACAAGACCCCAUGUGUACCCCCUCCUACCCAGUUUCAACUUUCCAGUGGAAAAAUAACUCAGUGAUCAUAAGUGAAUUAUCUCCUGGAGAGGGGCCGGGCGGGUGUUGUGUACAUCUGCUUUGGCAAUAGGGAAAUGGGUGACGCAAAUUUGGAUAAAUGCAUACGUGUCUUUAAAAAGUCUAAUUCGUGGGAAAUUGCAGGCCAGGCGCACACAGGGGUGAGGCAAAUAGGCAUGAUUAUACAUGCAGUUUAACUAAAUAACCCGUAACAAGCUAAACAGCUAAUGACAAGGCUGAACUGACAGCAAUUAUUAGUUAAAUAGCAAGAAAGCCACCAACAACCAACACAUCCAAAACUCAAACCCAAAAUAUCCUUCCUCCCAAUUGGAGGAGAGCCAAGUAUCUGUCACUGUGGGUGCAGAGUAGCUCUGAAAUAUUGCCAAGUGUGGUGCCGCGACCGAGACUUCUCUGGAAGAUGCUGUGUUAGCUCUCACCAGCCCAAGUAGCAAUAAAGUAAUACUCACCUUAAUGAGGAUGGCACAGCAGCAACUUCCUCCCUCCCUUCCUCCUUUCUUCCUCCCUCCCUUCCUCCUUUCUUCCUCCCUCCCUUCCUCCUUUCUUCCUCCCUCCCUCUUUCCUCCCUCCCUCCCUACUUCCUUCCUCCCUCCAUCCCUCCCUUCUUCCUUCCUUCCCUCCUCC